AACGAACGCUGGCGGCAUGCCUAACACAUGCAAGUCGAACGAAGGCUUCGGCCUUAGUGGCACACGGGUGCGUAACGCGUGGGAAUCUGCCCCUCGGUUCGGAAUAACAGUUAGAAAUGACUGCUAAUACCGGAUGAUGACUUCGGUCCAAAGAUUUAUCGCCGAGGGAUGAGCCCGCGUAAGAUUAGGUAGUUGGUGGGGUAAAGGCCUACCAAGCCGACGAUCUUUAGCUGGUCUGAGAGGAUGAUCAGCCACACUGGGACUGAGACACGGCCCAGACUCCUACGGGAGGCAGCAGUGGGGAAUAUUGGACAAUGGGCGAAAGCCUGAUCCAGCAAUGCCGCGUGAGUGAUGAAGGCCUUAGGGUUGUAAAGCUCUUUUACCAGGGAUGAUAAUGACAGUACCUGGAGAAUAAGCUCCGGCUAACUCCGUGCCAGCCGCCGCAGUAA
rnacentral:rRNA from 1 species